rnacentral:rRNA from 1 species
AGGGCACCACCAGGAGUGGAGCCUGCGGCUUAAUUUGACUCAACACGGGGAAACUCACCCGGCCCGGACACCGGAAGGAUUGACAGAUUGAUAGCUCUUUCUUGAUUCGGUGGAUGGUGGUGCAUGGCCGUUCUUAGUUGGUGGAGCGAUCUGUCUGGUUAAUUCCGAUAACGAACGAGACUCUAGCCUAUUAAAUAGACGUCGGGUUCUCUGCACUCGACGGUCUUCUUAGAGGGACAAGGUGCUUUUAGCACCGCGAAACAGAGCAAUAACAGGUCUGUGAUGCCCUUAGAUGUCCGGGGCCGCACGCGCGCUACACUGAAGGAAGCAGCGUGUAACAACCUUGUUCUAACGAACUGGGUAACCCGUGGAACUUCCUUCAUGAUUGGGAUAGGGGUUUGCAAUUUUGCCCCUUGAACGAGGAAUUCCCAGUAAAUACUAGUCAUCAGCUAGUGCUGAUUACGUCCCUGCCCUUUGUACACACCGCCCGUCGCUACUACCGAUUGAAUGGUUUAGUGA